rnacentral:rRNA from 1 species
UACGUAGGGUGCAAGCGUUAAUCGGAAUUACUGGGCGUAAAGCGUGCGCAGGCGGUUAUGCAAGACAGAGGUGAAAUCCCCGGGCUCAACCUGGGAAUUGCAUUUGUGACUGCACGGCUAGAGUGUGUCAGAGGGGGGUAGAAUUCCACGUGUAGCAGUGAAAUGCGUAGAGAUGUGGAGGAAUACCGAUGGCGAAGGCAGCCCCCUGGGAUAACACUGACGCUCAUGCACGAAAGCGUGGGGAGCAAACAGG